rnacentral:tRNA from 1 species
GUGAAAAUAGCUCAGUUGGUAGAGCGCAACCCUCCCAAGGUUGAGGUUGCGGGUUCGAAACCCGUUUUGCUUA